GUGCUUGCUUCAGCAGCACAUAUACUAAAACUGAGAUGAUACAGAGAUGAUUACCAUGGCCCCUGAGUGAGGAACAAUGCACAAAUUUGUGAAGCAUUCCAUAUUUUU